rnacentral:lncRNA from 1 species
AGCCUGUGACCCGGAUCCAGCCCGCGGCGCACAGACCCCGGCUCUGGGCACCCCUGGUGAGCGCCUUCUGCGCCAGAGCUCCGUACAGCACCAGCCCGCACUCUCCCCCAGCUUCUGUUCAUUUGUUGCAGUCCUAACGGAGACACUGCGUUAUCACUGUCAAGGCAGCUUUGCAGAGAGCUCUACCAUCAAAGCCGCCAGGAAGACAGACCUCCACAAGAACCCGGGAGGGCCAGCAGCAUGGGGAGGGCCAUGUGUAAAGAAAGAAGGCUUGAAGGUGGCCACACAAGGCCAGGGCUCCCCACAGGACGGCGGGAGGUGUGGCACUGAGAACAGACAUGGCCCAGUGGGAUGACAUGGCAGACUUCCCACCUGCUUAUAGUCCUGAGAAGCGACAUGGCUGACUUAGGGAGUUUAUUUUAGUUUGCUGUUGGGUGUCAGCUCCUCUAAGACACAAGCUGGUGCUGGCAAAGUAAAAGAAAGCUGGGCUUGCUUGAAAAGUG